UGGGGAAUUUUGGACAAUGGGCGAAAGCCUGAUCCAGCAAUGCCGCGUGUGUGAAGAAGGCCUUCGGGUUGUAAAGCACUUUUGUCCGGAAAGAAAUCCUUGGCUCUAAUACAGUCGGGGGAUGACGGUACCGGAAGAAUAAGCACCGGCUAACUACGUGCCAGCAGCCGCGGUAAUACGUAGGGUGCAAGCGUUAAUCGGAAUUACUGGGCGUAAAGCGUGCGCAGGCGGUUUGCUAAGACCGAUGUGAAAUCCCCGGGCUCAACCUGGGAACUGCAUUGGUGACUGGCAGGCUAGAGUAUGGCAGAGGGGGGUAGAAUUCCACGUGUAGCAGUGAAAUGCGUAGAGAUGUGGAGGAAUACCGAUGGCGAAGGCAGCCCCCUGGGCCAAUACUGACGCUCAUGCACGAAAGCGUGGGGAGCAAACAGGAUUAGAUACCCUGGUAGUCCACGCCCUAAACGAUGUCAACUAGUUGUUGGGGAUUCAUUUCCUUAGUAACGUAGCUAACGCGUGAAGUUGACCGCCUGGGGAGUACGGUCGCAAGAUUAAAACUCAAAGAAAUUGACGGGGUCAUAGCUG
rnacentral:rRNA from 1 species